rnacentral:rRNA from 1 species
CAGCCGCCGCGGUAAUACGUAGGUGGCAAGCGUUGUCCGGAAUUAUUGGGCGUAAAGGGCUCGCAGGCGGUUUCUUAAGUCUGAUGUGAAAGCCCCCGGCCCAACCGGGGAGGGUCAUUGGAAACUGGGAAACUUGAGUGCAGAAGAGGAGAGUGGAAUUCCACGUGUAGCGGUGAAAUGCGUAGAGAUGUGGAGGAACACCAGUGGCGAAGGCGACUCUCUGGUCUGUAACUGACGCUGAGGAGCGAAAGCGUGGGGAGCGAACAGGAUUAGAUACCCCGGUAGUCCCUGUCUCUUAUAA